AUUGAACGCUGGCGGCAGGCCUAACACAUGCAAGUCGAGCGAGCGGCGGACGGGUGAGUAAUGUAUGGGGACUGCCCGAUAGAGGGGGAUAACUACUGGAAACGGUGGCUAAUACCGCAUACUAUCGGAUAACCCAUAUGGGAUUAGCUAGUAGGUGGGAUAAAGGCUCACCUAGGCGACGCUCUCUAGCUGGUCUGAGAGGAUGAUCAUCCACACUGGGACUGGUAAACGCCCCAGACUCCUACGGAGGCAGCAGUGGGGAGUAUUGCACAAUGGGCGAAAGCCUGAUGCAGACAUGCCGCGUGGAUGAAGAAGGCCUUAGGGUUGUAAAGUACUUUCAGCGGGGAGGCGGUACCCGCAGAAGAAGCACCGGCUAACUCCGUGCCAGCAGCCGCGGUAAUUC
rnacentral:rRNA from 1 species